UACGUAGGGGGCAAGCGUUGUCCGGAUUUACUGGGCGUACCGGGCGCGUAGGCGGCCCUGUUAGUCAGGCGUGAAAGUCCUGGGCUCAACCUGGGAAUUGCGCUUGAUACGGCAGAGCUAGAGGAUGGAAGAGGCUCGCGGAAUUCCCAGUGUAGAGGUGAAAUUCGUAGAUAUUGGGAAGAACACCGGUGGCGAAGGCGGCGAGCUGGUCCAUUACUGACGCUGAGGCGCGACAGCGUGGGGAGCAAGCAGG
rnacentral:rRNA from 1 species